AACAUCACUCGUGAGUCUCCAUAUCCUCCUCUGUAGGUUUUUCUGUGUCCUACCAAACACACAUCAGUUUUCUCACAUGACAAUCUAUGUGUGGAGUUCACUUCACUGACGGAAGAAAGUGGAAAAUAUGUAUUUUUCUUUUAUUCUUCUCAUUUAUGUUGCCGGUGUUGCGGUAAAAGAAAGUUGUGCAGAUUUGGUUCCCACUCCCACUAUUCUAUUUUACCCUGGGUACAUCAAUGUAGCUACACCUGUUACAAUACGCUGUGAGUCACCAAAAGGCACAGAGUGCAAAUUCUACAAAGAUCACGACCCCAACCCUAUAAGGAAACUGGAUUACAAGCAGGGUGCUUGCCAGUUCAAGUUGCUCUGGAAUGAGUUCAAAAGGUGGAACAAGACUGAAGUAGAUCUCAGCUGUGUAAUUGUACAGAACAGAGAAGGUGAAACGAUCAAAACCUCAAAACCUAGUGAUGCUCGAAGACUUAAUGUGGGUGAUCCAAUUGGAAAUCCCAGUGUUCAUGUGUUUAAGAUGGGGAAAUACCUCAAUCUUCGAUGUGAGGCCAAGGCUGGCACCUCUUGCUACUUUUAUCUGAACAUUGGUGACUCACACUUUAAAAAACUACCCUACAAAGACAAUGGCUGUUUGGGGAGAGUGGCAGAAGAGGAACUGCAGAGGAAGAGGAGCAGUGCUGGAGAGAUCUUCAUCACCUGUGCUGUGGAGCUGGUGGUAGAGGGUGAAGAUACUGUGACAUCACAGCAUAGUGAACCCCUCGGUAUCACCAUAGAUGUCAUAAAUCCUCCAGGAGCUACUAAUUCCACAUCAGCGUUCAGUUUAAUCACACCUGGUCAGGAGAAGACAAGCAACAGUGCCACACCCCAAGGAAGUGGUACAAAGUUCCACGUCGUCAUCAGUCUGGGUACUUGUUCCCUUUUCCUGGUUCUGCUAGCUGGGUGUGUGCUGGGUGUUCUCCAACGCAAGUGUGGGGUUCAAGGCAGGCCUGUAAAUACUGGAAGCCCACCUGAACAGCAAGACCAAAACCCACCAUGUGUCUAUUCUGUCAUCACAAAGCCUUCUAGGGAUGAGGAAGAGGACACUAGUCUGCAAUACGCUACAGUGACAUAUACCGGUGUCCAAGCUAGUCGUCAAUAUGCAACAGUGACAUCUACCGGUAACCAAGUUGAACCUGGGCGCACCAAGAUCAAGUUUGAAAUAGCUGGAGAGUACGCCCUCUUAGCAGAAUCAUAGAAGAAGAAACAUUUACUGGAUAACAUGUUUUGCCAUAGUUUACAGUUACAAUCCUAUAUUUAGUUUUCAUAUUGGAUCAUAAUUUACUCAUAGUACAAAAACAAAUCCUGCCACAACAUCAAAGACUAAAGAUACUGUAUCUACUCCUUUCUGAAAACAAGCAUCUUCAACUAUUUGCAUUUUAGGUUAAAUGAAAUAAAUGAAAAGUACACUGUCUGAAACAUAAAAUAAAUGUUUUCCUUAAUUGAGUUACCGAAUCUAGUCAGCAGUCACCAAUCAGUAGUCACCAAUCUAUUUCACUCCUUGACAAGAGUCAAUAUAGACUCAAAGCCACAAGAGGGUAGAACACAUGUCAAACUUUGCUUGUUACAUCUCUACAUCUCUCUCUUUAACCAUGUCUGGUGUAUAUUAGUUUUCAGUGGUGGAAAAAGUACUCAAC
ensembl:lncRNA